GACGAACGCUGGCGGCGUGCUUAACACAUGCAAGUCGAGCGGUAAGGCCCUUUCGGGGGUACACGAGCGGCGAACGGGUGAGUAACACGUGGGUGACCUGCCCUUAGCUCUGGGAUAAGCCUGGGAAACUGGGUCUAAUACCGGAUAUGACUCCAUGACGCAUGUUGUGGGGUGGAAAGCCUUGUGCGGCUAGGGAUGGCCCGCGGCCUAUCAGCUUGUUGGUGGGGUGAUGGCCUACCAAGGCGACGACGGUAGCCGGCCUGAGAGGGCGACCGGCCACACUGGGACUGAGACACGGCCCAGACUCCUACGGGAGGCAGCAGUGGGGAAUCUUGCGCAAUGGGCGAAAGACCUGACGCAGCGACGCCGCGUGAGGG
rnacentral:rRNA from 1 species